rnacentral:sRNA from 1 species
CGGAAUGUUGUCCUAGGAAUGUUGUUCUAGGAAGGGCUCAAGUGCAGGUGGGAGGCCGGAGUGCGUGCAGCUGCACUCAGGAGACUCGCCCCUCACCGGGCGCUUCUCACAGCCCCUUCCUCUCCUGAGAUCCUGCCCAUGGCACUGUAGUCUGGAGGCUGGGCUGGUGACCUCUCGCACUCUUGCUCUGCCUAGGAUGGGGCGGUCCUGCCUCAGUGGCUCUGCUCCAACUGUCAGGCGCCCUACGACUCCUCUGCCAUCGAGAUGACGCUGGUGGAAGUUCUGCAGAAGAAGCUGAUGGCCUUCACCCUGCAGGACCUGGUGAGUAGUGUGUGCCGCCCAUCCUUGUGCCCUGGAGUCCGCAGAGGGGUUUCUGUGCACUCCCGGGAGCCGGGGUGUGUGCAGGUCCUGAGGCAUGCCCUGGUGUCCUCCAAGGGGCCUGCCCUGCAGACCAGUCCAUGCCCUGAGCCUAGUGGACUGUUCUAUCCACGCUGGUUGAGCACCUGCCUUGGGUCAAGAGCUGGCCUUGUGGGUGCUUUGUUCUGGGGGAAGGAGGCAGACACUCCCAAGUGUGAAGAGAAGGAAAGGAGGAAGAGGGGGUUGCACAGCUCGGCCACAGGAAGGUCUUGCCGAGGGGCAUCUGAGCAGAGGCUGGGGGACGCGCCAAGCUGCCGUGUGGUGGUGCACGGCGUCCAGGCCUGCAGGAUGGAGGGAGUGAGCAGGGCCUGGAGGAGGCCUCAGGACUGGGCGUCUGGGGUGGGAUGAGGUCGUGCAUUUUACUCAUAACCGAGGGCUGGCUGCGCACAGCGGGGGCUCAAGGCUUACUGAUGGGCCCACGAAUGUGUCUCGCGAGCCUGUGAAGAAGCAGCAGGCAGGUCUGGCCGGCGCCCAUCGGGGCUGCUCCCUUUCAGGUCUGCCUGAAGUGCCGCGGGGUGAAGGAGACCAGCAUGCCUGUGUACUGCAGCUGCGCGGGGGACUUCGCCCUCACCAUCCACACCCAGGUCUUCAUGGAACAGAUCGGAAUCUUCCGGAACAUUGCCCAGCACUACAGCAUGUCGUACCUCCUGGAGACCCUGGAGUGGCUUCUGCAGAAGAACCCACAGCUGGGCCGUUAGCCAGCCCUGGGCCCCGGGUGCCUCUGCGUCUGUACCAGGCCUGAUGCCAAGGCCACAUCCCCGUGCUUCCAGUGACCAGACCACUGACCACUCUGACUGUCCAAACUUGUGACCCCAGGCCAGGGAUCAGGGAGGAAACCAAAGAAAACCAUUUUCAGGGAGCUCAGACGUCACAGGAGGGAGCGGGAGCAGGAUGUGGCCCUGGUCUCGCCAGAGCACCUGAAGAAGCAGGCCAUGAGCGAGGCUGCGAGUGCCCUGGGUGCCGUUUCUCACGCAGUGAAUGCUUUUCCAGGCCUCUGUUGCUUCCUGCACCACACCUGGUGGGGUGGGAGAGUCCUCUAGGUGCCCCCAGUUCUUUGUCCUGCCUCCCAGAGAGAGGAAAAGCCCCUGGGGGCUUCUGGCUCCCUGAGAUUGGGCUCUCCCUGAGACGAGACGGGUUUCCAAGGCCCUGGUGGGGCUGGAGUCUCACCUGUUUGCAUGGAGAAAUGGGCUGGCCCCACAGCCUCACAGGAGCAGUUUGUGGGCCGGUUUCUUGAGGAAUCCAGACCCUAACCCGUGAGAAUCUGGAUUUUGGCUUGUGAGCCCUGCUCAUUUGGAGCCGGGUCUAGAGGGAACCCUCUAUCAGCGUCAGGAAAACAAGACCUGUGUGCACCUCACUUUUGGCUCACUGCAGCCCUUGUCCUUCACGUCCACACAGGACCAGCUGGAAGCAGAAAGAAGAAAGGCCAAUUUCACAGGGCACCAAACGAGUAUGAAAUGUAAAUCACAAAUGCAGACACCCCAGAUAAAGCCUCACAGGAGGGAGGGGCCCCACAGGCUCCCCAGGAGGCUCGUGUCUUUGGCCCAGAGCCAGCCUUAGUUUCUCCCUGCCAUCUACUGUCUGAGGCCAUCGCUGCUACACUUUGUUUUUGUUUGUAUUUCAUACUGAAGUUUCUCUAGGUUG